AGGUUUAUAUAUGAUUUGUUAUUUUAACUGUAAUUAAUUCCAUCGCUUAUUUAUAAUUCAAAGAGUUUUUUUUUUUUUUUUGGGUAUAAAUUCCAUUUGACAGUGCAGAAGGGAAAGCUUAUAAAAACAAAACAAAAUCCAAAGGAGUAGAGAGCUUGUGGUUGCCAUCCGCUACCGCCAGUUAAGGUUAGGGAUUCAUGAAUCUUGAGACAAAGAGGGAAAGUGGUCAAAAUUCUCUAAACUUUGAAGUAAUUCCUCACUCAACAUGUCAUUAGGUGUGGCGUGAGAAUUUUGUGGCAUUGAUCACCUUCUUCAACCAUUUUGCUUCCAGAAAGUGAGUUUGGGCGAGUGAGGAGGCCAUGGCUGUAUAUCUGAUCCCAACAGCUACGCUCAACUUGUUUCCUUGUCAUCCAUCCUUCUGAGCUGCUGCACCUAUAAUAGCUCCUUUUUGUUUUUUUAACAUUAAAUUUCAAACAAGCAAUAAGUUGAAUAUACUCAAUGCCAUGAACAAAAACAAAAACAAAAAAAGAGAGAUUUUUACCUUGAUGGGUUUCUGCCCAAUAUAUCCGAAUAAAGAUGAUGCACUACUCUA